CCCGGAGUCACAGGCGCGCCUCCGCGUCGCGGCCUCCAGGGACUCUCCCAGGAGAGGCCCGCGCGCUCCCGGCCUCAAGGAAGUCUCGCCUGAUGUCUACACCACAUUUUUGGAGAAGCUGUCAACUCUGACAAAGGAGGAAAGUGGAAGCCAGGAGAGCUGCACCUGCAGAAAUUGCUGGAAUCCCAGGGCCAACCCAGCCUGGCUGUCCUUUAAGGCUGCUGCUUCUUCCUUUCUGUUUCUAAGUGACCACAGGUUCCUGCCACACAGUUGGUAAGGGACAGAGCUGGGAUGUAAUCCAGCUCUUACUUAGUGUGGAGUGCUGCUUUCACUAGGAAUCCUUCCAGUGCCUAGAGUCGACAUGAUUUUUGAGACUUGGUUCCAAACCACAUGGCUGGUCCUACUCCUGCUUUCUAGUCUGCUUAUUCUCCCUGAGGUCAGGGCUUCUGUAAAUGGAAGAUUUUUGAGACAAAAGCAUUUAGACAUGAAGCUUACUUGAAAAAGAUCUGCAAGACUGUCUGGCGGUUAGAAGGACAAGAUCAUCAUAGAAGAUACAACAGGAAUUUAAAGGGAAACAUAUUCCACAAAACUACCAACGCUACUGAGAUUACAGUUAGUCUGUGCAUGGUAGAGAAACAGCGAAUUUGUCACAUCCACAAAGGUCCUGACAAAUUUCCAAAAAGCAGCAUCACAGAAGUCUGGGAUCAAGUUGUUUUUGCUUGGGAGUUAGUAACUUACAGGAAAGUUGCAAGAUUCCCUUGAUUUUGCUGACCCCAUUUUAGUUUGUUUCUCUCUGAUAUGAUGUGCUUUUCUCUUUAUGGCGUGAGAUGUUCAUGAUUACCCAUAAAUGAGAUGCUGUUUGUUUCUACAGUUCCACCUAGUGGUCAAGUUUCUGGCCCUAAGGCACACAGUUAACCACAUGGGUUUAUUUUUAUGAUUUUUUUCAAUUCCAUAUUCACUAACUUGAGAUUUUAUUUUAUUUGAUUCAUAGUUUUAUUUACACAGGUGUAGAACAAGGUGAAGAAGAAGGAAAAGAAGCAGCACUCCUUGUGUGUGGUUAACAAAAUUAGAGCCAUAGAUACUAAGACCUAAGAGUUAACCAUUGUCUGGAUGCUCUGUAAAUCUCCUACGCAUACCUGUCUAAAGAAUUUAUUAUUAUCAGCUCAUCUACUGGGAACGGGAACCAAGAACCCGCCAUUCCUCUCUACUUGGUUUUGCCUGCAGGACCUGUAUCUGGAAGGACAUCUUUCUCGAGUUGUCGAUGCCUCGUCUGCUUGUGAUUCUGUGAGUGGACUGGGGAUCAGCUUGGUGGUUCUUCAGCUGAAUGUGAUCUUCCUGGGGCUGCAAUUCUCUCGCCCCUCAACCGGGCUGGGACAUCCAAGAUGGCUCACCCACCUGACAGGAUCCCCUCGCAGGACUGGUUGAGGCUGAGCUGCCUCUGGGCGAAGGCCCUGGGAUUGAGAAGGUUCUAGGGGCUCUAGACCUAGGAACCAGGCCCUGAGGUGGGACAGGAGGGAGACAAAGCAGGAGGCUGGCUCCAGAGGGUUGGGUGGCAGGGACGUCUAGAAAGCUAGGCCAGCUCACAUCUGGGUGGCUGGGAAUUUCUCUCUUUUUCCAUGGAGUCCCGGAUCCCUCUCUCUCCUCUGGCUUCUCCGAGUGCGUUCGUCAGCAGUGUUAGGUGCUGGUACAUCCCGGGAGGCAGCUCAAGGCUCCCGAAGGUGUAAAAGCAGAAUCUGCCAGGGCUGCUGAGGUGUCAGGCUUCUUCCAAACUCCGUCGGUUUAAACAAUCAUGGGCCAACCCAGAUUCAAGAGGGCGGAAGAUAAUUUUUUUGAAGAUUUUAUUUAUUAUUCGAGAGAGAGCAAGAGAGAGCC